rnacentral:rRNA from 1 species
CAGUAGCCGCGGGAAUACGUAGGUGGCAAGCGUUGUCCGGAAUUAUUGAGCGUAAAGGGCUCGCAGGCGGUUUCUUAAGUCUGAUGUGAAGGCCCCCGGCUCAACCGGGGAGGGUCAUUGGAAACUGGGAAACUUGAGUGCAGAAGAGGAGAGUGGAAUUCCACGUGUAGCGGUGAAACGCGUAGAGAUGUGGAGGAACACCAGUGGCGAAGGCGACUCUCUGGUCUGUAACUGACGCUGAGGAGCGAAAGCGUGGGGAGCGAACAGGAUUAGAUACCCGCGUAGUCCCUGUCUCUUAUAC